GACGAACGCUGGCGGCGUGCUUAACACAUGCAAGUCAGGGGGCCCGCAAGGGUCACCGGCGGAACGGGUGCGUAACACGUGAGCGACCUGCCCUGGUGUGGGGGAUAGCCGGCCCAACGCCGGGUAAUACCGCAUACGGCUCCGGCUUAGAAGCCGAGAGCGAAACUUUCGAGGCACCAGGAGGGGCGUCGCGGCCUAUCAGCUAGUUGGUGUGGUAACGGCACACCAAGGCGAUGACGGGUAGCGGUCUGAGAGGAUGGCCAGCCACAUUGGGACUGAGAAACGGCCCAGACUCCUACGGGAGGCAGCAGUGGGGAAUAUUGCGC
rnacentral:rRNA from 1 species